CUACGGAGGGUGCAAGCGUUACUCGGAAUCACUGGGCGUAAAGCGCGCGCAGGCGGGCUGAUAAGUUGGAUGUGAAAGCCUACGGCUCAACCGUAGAACUGCAUCCAAAACUGUCAGUCUAGAGUCUGGGAGGGGAAGAUGGAAUUAGUUGUGUAGGGGUAAAAUCCGUAGAGAUAACUAGGAAUACCAAAAGCGAGGGCGAUCUUCUGGAACAGUACUGACGCUGAGGCGCGAAAGCGUGGGGAGCAAACAGGAUUAGAAACCCUAGUAGUCC
rnacentral:rRNA from 1 species